AUUCAUAGCAGCCUCUCAUGUGAAUUUUAAAGGAUUACAUGAGAAGCUGCUCUGAAUGA
rnacentral:pre_miRNA from 1 species